rnacentral:rRNA from 2 species
UGGUGGGUAGUUUGACUGGGGCGGUCUCCUCCCAAAGAGUAACGGAGGAGCACGAAGGUUGGCUAAUCCUGGUCGGACAUCAGGAGGUUAGUGCAAUGGCAUAAGCCAGCUUGACUGCGAGCGUGACGGCGCGAGCAGGUGCGAAAGCAGGUCAUAGUGAUCCGGUGGUUCUGAAUGGAAGGGCCAUCGCUCAACGGAUAAAAGGUACUCCGGGGAUAACAGGCUGAUACCGCCCAAGAGUUCAUAUCGACGGCGGUGUUUGGCACCUCGAUGUCGGCUCAUCACAUCCUGGGGCUGAAGUAGGUCCCAAGGGUAUGGCUGUUCGCCAUUUAAAGUGGUACGCGAGCUGGGUUUAGAACGUCGUGAGACAGUUCGGUCCCUAUCUGCCGUGGGCGCUGGAGAAUUGAGGGGGGCUGCUCCUAGUACGAGAGGACCGGAGUGGACGCAUCACUGGUGUUCGGGUUGUCAUGCCAAUGGCACUGCCCGGUAGCUAAAUGCGGAAGAGAUAAGUGCUGAAAGCAUCUAAGCACGAAACUUGCCCCGAGAUGAGUUCUCCCUGAGACUUUAAGUCUCCUGAAGGAACGUUGAAGACGACGACGUUGAUAGGUCGGGUGUGUAAGCGCAGCGAUGCGUUGAGCUAA